UAGAGAUCCUGCCCUCACGGGUAGACCUCCAACCCUGUGUAUUUAUACCUCGUUGCUUCGGCAGGCCGUCUAGGCUUCGCCUGGCCAUGGGCUCCGGCUCGUGUGUGCCUGCCAGAAGACAUCCAAACUCUUGAUAUAAUUGUCGUCUGAGUAAAAACUUAAUAAGUUA
rnacentral:misc_RNA from 1 species